GUUAGGAAUAUUGGACAAUGGGCGCAAGCCUGAUCCAGCCAUGCCGCGUGAGUGAUGAAGGCCUUCGGGUUGUAAAGCUCUUUAGCCGAUGAUUAUAAUGACUGUAGUCGGAAAAUAAGCCCCGGCUAACUUCGUGCCAGCAGCCGCGGUAAUACGAAGGGGGCGAGCGUUAUUCGGAAUCACUGGGCGUAAAGCGUGCGUAGACGGCUUUGCAAGUUGGGAGUGAAAGCCCAGGGCUCAACCCUGGAAUUGCUCUCAAAACUGCAAGGCUCGAAUUCGGGAGAGGAUAGCGGAAUUGUCAGUGUAGCAGUGAAAUGCGUAGAUAUUGACAGGAACACCAGUGGCGUAAGCGGCUAUCUGGACCGAUAUUGACGCUGAGGCACGAAAGCGUGGGGAUCAAACAGGAUUAGAUACCCCUGUAGUCC
rnacentral:rRNA from 1 species